UGUUUUUUAAACACUUUACCCUAUUUAUAUUAGAAUGAAACUGUCAAAUAAUUGUUAACGCUUUAAGUUCUGUAGAAAGGAUCUAGUUACAGUCUAACUAGAGGUCGACUUGGCGGAAGCAUACAUAUCGCAGCGCGGAGGGAUACGUACGUGAAUCGACAGCUAUCCAACUGUCAGUGGCGAUCAGAGUUGAGAGGAUGUCGCUCGGAAAUUUAUCAACGGAGGAUUUAAUCAGAGUUACUUCGUUUUGGAAUAGAAGUCACUGAAGAGGAGCGAAGUAAAUUCAAAGACAAUGAAGUUGACGGAGAAUCAGUGGACUAUGGAUUAACUGAGAGGAUGUUUCAGACCUUUUUGAAGGAUCGUUUAAGAAGCUAAAUUCAACCGAUUUGUUCAGCUGUGGAAAGAAACCGUGAGCCUGUCCCGGUACAUUCGGAGAAGGCUUCAGCAGAAUCAAAUCAUGCCAUCCCAUCAUCAGCCUUCCCAGCAGUUUUCAUCAUUCCUAAAUUUCCCAGAGAUGUUUAGACAAAGUUGGACCAAAGACCACCAUGCAAAAUUGAGAGAUCUGAUCACACCAAAAUUAUAAGAAUGUUGUAUGAAACCAUGGCCCUGUUUGAAAUGUUUCCGACCAAUAAUGACUGUGAAAGUGUGGAAGACCCUGAUUUUGAAGUACCCUUUCUUAAAGGACAAAGAAGGAAAUGGUUAUCAUACCUGGCACAUGUCUCUCAAACGUAAGUUCAAAUAUGAGCGGGUGCCCCUGGUUGAUGAUGAAGAGGUGAGAAGAAUGAAACUGAAAUUUGGUCAUCACAAAAAGCCUUUGGAACAGGAAGAAAACACAAGCAAACGAGCCGAGACCUCAGAGGUCAGAGCAUCUACUUUGGUUCCCUUUAUAUAUGUGUGCAUGUUUUCAUACAAGCAGCACGGGGGCCCAAGGUUAGCCCCUUAACCCAGCAAGGUUGAGAAUAGUCCCCACUGUAAAAUGCUUUAAGUAGCUAUGAUAAAGAGCUAUAUAAAAU